rnacentral:rRNA from 1 species
CUAGUAAUCGUGGAUCAGCAUGCCACGGUGAAUACGUUCCCGGGUCUCGUACACACCGCCCGUCACACCAUGGGAGCCGGUAAUACCCGAAGUCAGUAGUCUAACCGCAAGGAGGACGCUGCCGAAGGUAGGAUUGGCGACUGGGGUGAAGUCGUAACAAGGUAGC